UACGUAGGGGGCAAGCGUUGUUCGGAAUUACUGGGCGUAAAGGGCGCGUAGGCGGCACGGCAAGUCGGGAGUGAAAGCCCGGGGCUCAACCCCGGAACGUCUUUCGAAACUGCCGAGCUAGAGUGCGGAAGGGGCAACUGGAAUUCCCAGUGUAGCGGUGAAAUGCGUAGAUAUUGGGAAGAACACCUGAGGCGAAGGCGGGUUGCUGGGCCGACACUGACGCUGAGGCGCGAAAGCCAGGGGAGCGAACGGGG
rnacentral:rRNA from 1 species